UGAGAGUUAUGUGUCUUUAAUUUGAUCUCACUAGUUAGUUUACGGCAGAAGUGGCGCCCAAGAGGGGACAUAUUAGAUUAGCUAGGUUGGGUGUGAGCGCGCUAUAGAAAUAAGGAAUUGGUGACAUUUUGGGAUCACAAAAGUACCAGGAGGUACUGAAGCGACGAGACGUAAAAUUAUUAAUAAUGGGAAAUUCAACUUCUACUGGUAAGGACAUGUACUUGGCUAUUUUAGAAAUGAUAAUUAAUCAGAAAGAAAAGCAAAUAAAAAAGACUCAGUUGUUACAAUUCUUAAAGGUUGUAGGUGAAUUUUGCCCUUGGUUUUGUGACCAAGAUUCGCCAAAUUUACAUACUUGGGACAAAUUAGGAAGGAAAUUACAUAAAAUCUGCCUUUCUAAUGAAUUACCUGGAAAUUUUGAUAACAUUCAAAGACUAUGGACUGCUUUAGAAAUUUGUCUUUUUGAUUACAUGGGCCAUAGUCCAUGGCCCACUGAAUGUCUAUUGAAGGGUAUUCAGAGAGCCAUUAAGUCUAUUCAAAUGGAAAACCUGUCUGAGGCUAAGGUAAUCUCCUUUCCCUUAAGCCCGAUAAAGACAAAAGCUCCCGGGGCUAAACCGAAAGUGAGAAAUGUAAGCGUGCCUGAAGUGAGUCAGGGUAACUUGGAGGAAGAUCCUAGAGACGAAGAUCAUAGACAGCAAGCCUCCGGAGGGAUAGAUAGUUCUCUUCCUGGAGGCAUAGAAAGUCCUCCCGGAGGGAUAGAAAGUAAUCCUCCCGGAGAGGAAAAUCCAGAAGAAAUUCCUAGAGAGGUAAAAAGCCCUUCUCCACCACGUGGCUUAGAAGCCCAAUUUCAAAAUGGCGACAGCGAAAAUUCAGCUGAGGAGUCGCAGUCUGAGGGAGAGGAAUCAGACAUUGAAAUCCAGGACUUGCAGGGAAAUUUUAACAGGCUGCGUUUAACACCGCCUGCCCAGGCUAUUAGAAUUCGGCCAUUGUCUGCUAAAAGGUACUCUGAAUUAACAACGACUUUUCUUACCCCGUUCCAGCGAGGUAUUGAGAAGGCACAGGAAGCCGGGGAGGACAUUAGCGAAUUUCAACUUUUCCCAGGUUUUGAGCAGAUUAAUGAACAGGAUCAGCGGGUUCGCGUCCACGCGGUAAUUCCUUUUAAGACUAUCAAGGAAUUAAAGAGCGCUUGUGAGGUUUACCGUCCAAAUUCACCUUUUGCGCAAAAUUUGCUGGAGACUAUCGCUUCACAACCGCUCCCACCGAGUGACUGGGUUUGGUUAGCUAGAGCUUGCCUGAGUGGCGGGGAUUUCUUGCUUUGGAAGUCCUACUGGUCUGAUUUUUGUGCUAAACAAGCAGAAAGGAAUAGGAGACAGAAUCUCCAGACACCAGUGGAAAUGCUUUUAGGAACGGGUGAAUUUAUCGAUUUGAAAAUACAGUUAAAUUAUGAAUUUGCGGUAUAUGAUCAGAUAACUGCUUGUGCCAGAGAGUUUCCAAAGACCAAUCUAAUUUAGUUCUAACUAAGGUUAGACAAGGUGCUAGUGAACCUUAUUCUAAUUUUGUAGGGAGACUGUAUCAGACAGCCAGCCGCUCCAUAAGAGACCCAGGCGCUCGUGAAUUCAUUGUUAAGCAAUUGGCAUUUAAAAAUGCAAAUAAAUACUGUCAGGAUGUUCUCAGACCCCAUAGAAAAAAAGGGACAGUUUCUGAGUUUAUCCGUUUGUGUUCUGAGAUCGAUUCCACUCAUCUACAAAUAGUAACAUUAGCUGCUGCGUUAAAACAAACUUUGCAGCCACAGGAAUUGGCGCGAAAACCCCGCGGGAGGUGCUGUCUCUGCGGGAAAAGUGGCCAUUAUGCGGAGAAUGCCAUGCCCGCAAUGUUAAGUCCAGGGCUCCCUCUGCUGUUGACGGUAAAUAUUACAGGGCUCCACCCCCGCGGUGGAUCAAGGUGGCGCUGGGCAGCCCGCCUUCUUGUCAUUUCCCCCUGGCAGGAAAAAAAAACCUAACCAUCAGCCCUUCCGCGACCCUUCCCCGGUCCCACCAAAGAAAUGGGGAAUUGGAGGAGGGGUCGCACAGUUUGACUGGCACUGGCCAUCGCAGGCUGCCAUUUCUACCGGAACAUAAAUCACAGACAGUUUCCUUACGACCCUCAGUGACAAUAGAAUUAAAUCCUGAAUCAGGGCCAAAACAAAUUCCUACUGGGAUUUUCGGGCCACUCCCUGAAAAAAGUAUAGGUUUAAUUUUGGGACAUAAUAAUUUAAAAGAGGCCUUGGAGGUAAUACCUGGAGUAAUAGAUUCUAAUUUUAAAGGACAAUUAAAUGUUGCUCUAAGGUCCAAUUAUGCCCUACGGCUUACUCCAGAAGAUACAUUUGCCCAAUUAAUUUUAUUACCCUGUGAUUCAGAUGAACACCCUCAAGUAAAUUCAGUUUCCAAACCGCCAGACAGUUUAGUGCGACAGGAGAGCCCUUUACUGGAACUUAAAAUUAAUCAUAAAAAAAUCAAAGGAAUUCUAGAUACUGGGACAGAUAUUUCUAUUUUUUCUAGUAAAUUCUGGCCUAGGAAUUGGCCCUUACAUGUAGCACCAGCUGACCUAGAGGGAAUGGGACAAAUUUCACAGCCUGCUCAAAGUGCAAAUUAUCUCCGUUGGGAGGAUUCGGAUGGGAACAGUGGAGUUUUUAAACCUUAUGUUUUGGAGUCCUUACCAGCAAACCUAUGGGGAAGGGAUAUUUUAGCUAAAAUGGGAUUGUUAUUAGUAACUCCAAAUUCUAUAAGAUCAAUUGAGGAAGUUAAUCAGGGUUUUUUUCCUGGAGAUGAUAAGAAAACCUUUCAGGGAGAGUAUCUGAUUGAAAACCAGUCUCCACCACAGAGAUUAGUAAAUACUCCAAACCAAAAUUUUUACUAGGGGCCCUUAGUGUUUCCCCGAUCCAAAAGACAGCUGAGGAGCCUAUAUGGAUUUCUCAGUGGCCCAUCUCAGGGAAAAAACUUAAAGUAAUUCAUAGGUUAGUUGAGGAACAGCUUCAGGCUGGUCAUAUAGAGCCAACACUUAGUCCUUGGAACACCCCCCAUUUUACCAGAAAAAAUCAGGUAAUUGGAGAUUACUACAGGAUUUAAGGGCAAUAAAUCAUUCAGCCUAUGGGAUCCUUACAGCCAGGACUUCCUUCCCCCACAGCCAUCCCUUUAAACUAUAGCUUGAUGGUAAUAGAUUUAAAAGAUUAUUUUUUCUCUAUAAGGUUACAUCCUGAAGAUUGUGAAAAAUUUGCCUUCACUGUCCCAGCAAUUAAUUUUUUAAAACCUGUUAAAAGAUAUUGCUGGAAGGUACUCCCCCAAGGAAUGCAUAACAGUCUUACUUUAUGCCAGAAAUAUGUAGAUCAGGCGAUAGCUCCUAUAAGAAAUAGCUUUUCUGAAUCAUAUAUUAAGAUAAGAGUUAAGGAGUUACAUACCCUUAAUGAUUUUCAAAAGCUAUUAGGAGAUAUUAAUUGGCUGAGGCCAUUCUUAAAACUAACUACUUCUGAUUUAAGUCCUUUAUUUCAGAUAUUACAAGGGAAUUCUUCCCCAACGUCUCCACGUCAGCUAACAAUAAAGGCUAGAACAGCUUUUAAAAAGGUUGAAAGUGCAAUUAGAAAUGCACAACUUACUAGAGUUGAUCCUAAAGAAAUAGUGUAUUUAUUAAUAUUUCCAACUGAACAUAAUGCCUCAACAGGAGCUAUAUGGCAAAGAUUGGGAGUUAUUGAGUGGAUUUAUUUGGCCCACUCCCCUCAAAAACAUUUGGUUCCUUUUCAUGACUGUAUUGCUCAAUUAGUAAUUAAAGGUAGAAUGAGAGUUUUACAAUUAAUUGGAUCUGAGCCUGAUAUCAUAAUUAUUCCAUUUUCUGUUCAACAAAACAAUUGGCUUUUUCAAACUUCUAGCGUAUGACAGAUGGCUUUUGCUGAUUUUCCUGGCCAGAUAGAUAGUCAUUACCCUUGUGAUAAAAUUAUUCAAUUUGCAUCAUUAACACCGCUUAUUUUUCUAAAGAUUGUACGUGCCCAUAGAUGGAGCCCUAUCUGUGUUCACGGAGGGUUCAAGCUCAGGUAAAGCAGGUUUUUAUAGUUGUGUUCACACAGAGGUAAUGCAAACUUCAUAUACUUCUGCCCAAAGAGCGGAUCUUCAAGCUCUCAUUUGUGCCUUAAAUUACCUUACAAAUGAGCCUAUUAACAUUUAUUCUGACAGCUUAUAUGCAGUUGAAGUUACCAAAAAUAUUGAAACUUCAGUUAUUGGGAUAUACUUCAUCACAAGAGUUAUUUAAAUUAUUUCAUAACUUACAAAAGGCAGUACAAAUGCGAAAAUACCCAUGUUUCAUAGGACACAUAUGGGCUCACACUAAUCUUCCAGGACUUUUAGCUUCAGGUAAUGACAAGAUUGAUAAAUUAGUAGCUGUUUGUCAACAGAUGUCUCCAUAUGAUUGUGCACAAGCUUCCCAUUCCUUACAUCAUCAAAAUGCUUCUAGUUUAUGUAAAAAAUUUAAUAUUACCAGAGAACAAGCUCGUCAAAUUGUAAGUCACUGCCCUAAGUAUGUCAUUCAUUCUCCAUCUUUGCCAUCAGGGGUAAAUCCCCGUGGAUUAAAACCAAAUCAAAAUAUGGCAAAUGGAUGUAACUCAUAUUCCUCAAUUUGGUAAAUAAAACAGGAAUUCCUUAUAACCCCCAAGGUCAAGCCAUUGUGGAAUGAGCUCAUUUAUCUAUUAAGCUUCAAUUACAAAAAUUAAAAGGGCAGAAUAGGUUUAUGACUCCCCAAAAUAGCCUCAACCAUGCCUUGUUCAUUUUAAAUUUUUUUAAUUGUGACGCAGAAGGUCACACUGCAGCUGACAGACAUAUGUCUCCUGCAGUAACAGGCCCUUUAGGCAGAGUUUUGUGGAAAGAUUUACAGACCGGUCAGUGGAAAGGCCCAGACCCAGUGAUUAUGUGGGGCAGAGGUCAUGCUUGUAUUUUUCCAGAAGGUGCUUUUCGUCCUAUCUGGGUGCUAUCAGACAUGGAAGAGAUAGAACCCAGAUUCAAGCGACUGAAGAUCAACCCAGAGAAGCCCCCAUUCAAAAGGAAGAGAUAUCGAAGAAGGAUGAAGAAAAAUCAGACUGACCCAGCUGAAAGGCUGAUUUCAUGGGAAGAUGUGAAGAAGCUAACAACCCAGGCCUCCCGAAUAAUUCGACUCCUAGGAAAAAACAGGACCCCAGUCUUGAUGGUAGCGAUAGUAAUUGCCCUGCUGGGCUGUCAGGAUGGUGAGUCUUCGGAGCAAAAGUGCAGAGGCUCGAGAGAGUAAAUCAUUGCCUGAAUUUUACAAGAAAAAAGGAGGGAUGUGUGGGAAUCCGUUCUCGCACUGAUUGAGCUAUCUUCCUGGCUGGUGUGAGGCGCUCAGAUAAGCAAGCUGUGUUAGACUGUGGGAAGCCAUUCUCGCACGUGACUGGGUGACUCCCCGUUUGGGUCUGAGGCGCUCUGGCUAACUGUGUCGGAGCUUUCCCGGCCCUCUCCUGAUGAGAGAGCCUGUCCAUGUGGGGGUGUGACUGACCACUGACCCUGAGGCCACUCACUGACUCUGACCUUGGAAUGCUGCCCCCCUCGACCUUCAUUGGAUGGAAUUUUCCCCUGAAUUUUUUGUUCCCCAAUAAAAGCUCACUUUCUGGCGUGCUUUCUCUCUUGCUGGUCUGUUGUGUAAACCUUGCUACCCUGUCAGGUGGCUAGAGGCGAGAGCUGGGAGAAGCCGUCUCUGAGCUGGGCAAGAAAAAGGUAA